AUUGAACGCUGGCGGAAUGCUUUACACAUGCAAGUCGAACGGCAGCACGGACUUCGGUCUGGUGGCGAGUGGCGAACGGGUGAGUAAUACAUCGGAACGUGCCCAGUCGUGGGGGAUAACGUAGCGAAAGCUACGCUAAUACCGCAUACGAUCUAAGGAUGAAAGCGGGGGACCGUAAGGCCUCGCGCGAUUGGAGCGGCCGAUGGCAGAUUAGCUAGUUGGUGAGGUAAAGGCUCACCAAGGCGACGAUCUGUAGCGGGUCUGAGAGGAUGAUCCGCCACACGGGGACUGAGACACGGCCCAAACUCCUACGGGAGGCAGCAGUGGGGAAUUUUGGACAAUGGGGGCAACCCUGAUCCAGCCAUGCCGCGUGAGUGAAGAAGGCCUUCGGGUUGUAAAGCUCUUUCGGCCGGGAAGAAAUCGCACAGGCUAAUACUCUGCGUGGAUGACGGUACCGGCAUAAGAAGCACCGGCUAACUACGUGCCAGCAGCCGCCGUAA
rnacentral:rRNA from 1 species